rnacentral:lncRNA from 1 species
AUGAGGAAAUCAGAUAAAGAUUGUGGUGGAGCUGGCAGGGUGGACCCGGCCUUUGCACUUGGGCAGACCUCUUCCUGCAGGAGGUGGCGGCGGCAGUGCCUGGGUCUGUCCAGAGUCCGGCCCGCCCCCGGCCUGACCCGGAGGGGUGGGGAGCUGGGCGGGGCGGCCGAGGCUCUCGGGCACGUGUGUCCCCGCGGUGGCGCGAGCACUUGGGAGNNNNNNNNNNNNNNNNNNNNNNNNNNNNNNNNNNNNNNNNNNNNNNNNNNNNNNNNNNNNNNNNNNNNNNNNNNNNNNNNNNNNNNNNNNNNNNNNNNNNUGCGCGCGGGGUGGCGACUCGGCCGGCGCCGGGCAGGCAGAGCGGCGCGCGCGGCUGGCCGAGAAGGCACGGCUCCGAACCCCUGUGAGAGCUCCGGCGGGUCCGUGGUCAAGCUCGGGCUCCAACGGAGUUCGAUCGCGGGGAAUGUGGACGGAUACCCCGGAGCUCCCUGCAGCUCGGUCCAGGCCUGUGCAUUCAUGAGUGAGGAACCUGAGCUGGAGCUGAGCAUCCUGACAGCAAGAGCAGGGGCUGGUCAGGUAUGGGCGCGAGAGGGUGGGGUCCACUGCCUGGGAAGCUGGGAGGCCGGGGCAGGCAGGCUCGUGCAUGUGUAUACAUUGACCUGGGGGUAAAUCAAGGGGACCCAUGCCCUGCUACCCAAGCUGUGAUGAAUUCAGGCUUCAGAGCCAGAUAGCCCUGGGUAUCAAAUCCAGUUUUUCCAAUACUUGGCAGUGUGACCUUAAACAAGUAGCCUAACUUCUAUGGCAGUAUCUGCUGAGGAAUGUGGUCAGGAAUGAAAUGAGGGUGCUGCAGGGGAAGCUGCUCAACCCAGACUUGGUCCCUACAAAGUGAAGAGGGUGGCAGUCCAGAAUCAGGAGCUCCUGACCCCGUGACCUGAGCCAGAGAGGUGUCAGAUAGAGGAAUGUAGAUCAGACAGCUGACCCAUCUUCAGAAUCCCUGGGUCCAGUUUCCUUCCCUCUGGCUCUUCCCUGAUCUGUCCAGAGAAGGGCAGGGUUCUUGAAAAAAGAGCCAGUGCAGGGGUCUACCUGGGGCAGGAGCAGGCCUCAGGUGGACUGGGCCCCUGGAGAGCUGGUGUGACCCCUGGCCACCUAGGGUCAGCAGCUGAACAAUCCUUCAGUGUCAUUGUCCGCUGAAAGGAGACCAAUAUCGUAAAGCUUAGCCUGCUCUGGGCUCCCAUAGCCUCUUGAGGUUGCUUCACUCAUUCCUUCGUUCUCUCAUUCAUGUCAUGCCUGCUUUGGAUCAGGCCUUUAGCUGGAGGACAGGGCCAGAGAAAAGAAUCAGAUAGGAGUUCCUGGAAUGUGUUGGGAUAGAGGGUGGAGACACAAAUCCCCAGCAGGAUGUAUGGAAUGCCCUGGGGGGUUAGUGAAGCAGGGAAAGAGCCUUGGAGAUAAGAUGAGAUUUGAGAAGAGUCUUGAGGGAUGGGUGGAGUGCCUUGUGAGUGGGUCAGGAAAGGCUUUCCAGACAGCAGCAACAGUGGCACACAAAGCCUGUCAGGGCUCUCACACGGCUCACGGCUCCCACCACACUCAGAGCGCUUGAGGUCAGGGCCAGCCAGAACCAGGCACAGAGGGGAAGCUGAGUGGUGCUGGACCAAGUUAGGUGGGAGCUGGUCCCGGGCUGCUGGGAGUGAGGCCCCAAGGGUAUCAGGGGUCAGGAGGGGCAGUAGGAAGGGCCGAGGGAGAGGACUGAAGACUUGGCCUGCUCGGUAAGCAGGAGCCGGUCAGAGGGGUGGGGAGGGAAGUUGUACGCACAAGCUGGCGGGCCGGACUGUGGAGGGAGAGGGCAGGCGGGGUCAGUCUGGACAGGGUCUGUGAUGAUAGAGUCCCUAGCUGCCUUGGGAGGGUGGAGGCCAGGAUGUCUUAAAACAGGUGGAAAGAGCAGCUCCCUUGGUUCAUGAGAGACGUACUGAAGUUUCCACCCCUGCAUCGGGGUCAGACUCCACUGUGAGUAAUUACCGAGGAACUCUGUAACCAGCUAUGGAUGUUGACAUGAAGGGAAGAUGAAGGCCCUGACUCUCGCUCUGAGGAGUGACCUGCCAGGCCUCAGCACUGGGGCAGGAGCAGAGCAGCGGUGUGGAGGUGGGGCUGGGGCGGGGGGGCACCCUGAGCACGCCCAGUGGUCACAGCACCUAAUGAGGGAAGUGUUGGCAUCACAGUGCUACCAGGCCAGGGGAUUCAGCACCCGGGAGGUAUGACCCUCAGGAGGGCAGGAAAUUCCUGAGGUCACCUAGGGCUCUGUGGCAGAGCUGGACACCCCAAGCCAGUGUCCCCCGGGGAGUGUGGCCCUCCAUAGACCCUCAGCCUCGCACCUGGGCCUCCAGGCUCCUUCUGCAGCUCCUGUGAGCUAGCAACCUCUGCCUACCUCUCAGUGCUUCAGAUCUGGUGAUCCCAGCCCAUGACACCCCUUUGGGGCACCCCACACUUACCGUGUCUGACACUGAGUUCCCUCUCCUCCUGACCCCUGAACCUGAGGCGUCCUGGCCCCUCCUCCACCCAGACUCCCUCCUAAACAGCUCUCAGACCUCUCCCCUCAUGAGGUCCCCAGGCCUGGCCCCAGCAUGGGGUGUCACUGCCUUGGCCCACCACGUUCACCUGCUCCACAACCUCCAGGACCUUCUGUUGCUCCUCUGCUCGUGGUCUGAGAGGGCUUCCCAAAGAGGUCAGGAGAAGGCCACAGCUGAGCUGAGCCUCAAAGCUUGUAACAUAGUGUGCCCACCGUGUGCCAAGCGUGGCUCCAAAGGUUUUAAACAAAUUGCUCCCCUAACCCUCACAAGCAGGCCUGUGACGUAGAUUUUGUUGAUCACCUCAUUUGUCCCCUCACAGAUGAGGAGACAAAGGCAGCCUGGGUCCAGAGGCCAGCUUCUUCCUAAUCACUGGAUUAGGAUAAAGAGUUGUCAUUUCAACAGAUGGAGAUGCCGGGCAUGCAGGGAUUCCAGUCUGAAGGAGUAACGUGAAGCAUGGCUGAGAGGGGAAAUGUGUUGGGUGCAUUCAGGAAAUGGCAGGUCACGGGGGAUGCGGAUGGUGAUAGAAGCUGGGUUAUACAAACCGCUGGUACUAGCCUGAGGAGCUGGGUUUUCUCCUGAGAUCAGACAGGAGCCACAGCAGGUUUCCAGCAGAGGAAUGACUUUCUCUUUUCCAAAGAUCCCUCUGGAUGGAGGGGACUGAGGCUGGAGACAGGGAGACCGAUAGAGGGGCUCUAGCAGCAAGGGUGGAGGUGACACGGCUGCAAGGAGCUGGGUGGGAUGCAGGAAAUGCUUUAAUGCCGGUUCCUGAGUCAACAGGGGUCCUAGCAGCUUGGCCCUGCCAGUGGCCCCUAAUCUCAUACGUACCUUCUCAUCCUGUAUCUCCCCUGGCUCCUUGGGGAGGAACCUGUGUCCGUGGGAGCAAGGUCAUGAGGGCAGGUUCCCUGUCUCCUAGUUGUAUCUUUGCUGACAGUAGCAGUCAGGGAAGAUAGAGGAGGGAGAGUUUGGGGGAAAGAAGGGAGCUGAAGAGCCAAUUGUCCCUCAGCCACUCUGAUCUCAACUUCAUGGGCCCUGAGCUGCUUUUGGGAGGCCUGGCUGGGCGGGAAUCUCAGCAUCUAAGGGAAUGGAUAUCAUUGGCCCCAUAGAAUCUCUGAGUCCCAGCCUCUCAGAAUCCUGGGGUUCCAAAAUAGGAGGGAUUACACAGCCCCAGAUUCUCAGGGUGAGGAGGACUCACACAUCAUCUGCCUUCUGUGUCCUCCCAGACACACCCACACACAGGGCACAAGCCCUCUGCACUCACUAGGGAGCCACUUGCACAGCCCCAUAAUUGGGGAGUUCUGCUAUGACUCCCAGCCUGCCUUCUGAGACCUUUGGGCACAUCUUUGCCCUCCAGACUGGGAUAGUCUGAGAGAGCUCUUCUUGGUCACAUUGGAGAGAUGGGGGGAGGAGUAAGGUCGCAUCCUGAUCUCCAGGUGCUCUCUGUCUGGGUGAGGCGCCAUAGCUGCAUUAUAUGCUCACUGGGAACAAGGAGAAGGUCGAGGUGGUGGUGAUGUAUGGAGAGAAGCAGGGCAGGCCUAGAGGAAGCUAAGUUUGCCCCACAGAAGUUCCCCAUUACCCUUAUUCCCAUCUCCACCCCAGACUUGCCUGCAAUCUUUAGGAAGGUCACUGCUCCAUCUGGUGGCCUCAGAGGCCAGGGAACAGGACUGCUGUUUACAGAUGCAGAAAGUACCAGAAUAUAGGAGUUCCUAAAAAAUAUUUGCUGAAGAGGUGACUGAAUAACUAAAGAGGGAGACCCUUACAAAACUCCCUCAAAUGCCAAAAUACUAGGCACACGGCCGGAGCCUCCCAGAGAAUGGAAAGACAGGCCAAAUAAAAGAACUUCCUAAUGCCUCCAGAAAGGUAUGAGCUGCCCUAGGCAGACUCCUAGAUCUGGAACUCUAUUCCUGAGGUUCUCAAACACCAAAAAAAGAAAAAAAAAUUUUUAAGGCAACAUGCUAAGUAUUUUAGGCUUUGAGGAAUAUAUGGUCUUUGCCACAACUAUUCAGUGCUGCAGAAACAGAUGGUCAUGGCUGUGUUCCAAUAAAGCUUUAUUUACAGAAACAGACUGGUGGGCUGGAUUUGUCCCUCAGUUUGCCUACCCCCUUUAAAUUGUUAGAAUUAUAAAGGUCCCAGGGUUCCAAGGUUCUGGGCCCUCUGUGUCCACAGAGAGGGGCAGAUCAGAUGCAAUAAAAGCCUUGAAUGUGGUUGGGCAGAUCCCAACGGAGGUGUCUGUAGUCACCUGGGGUCCCUCGUGGCCUGGGUCAGGCGGGUGUGUCAGGCCUCCCUGCUGGGGCCCCGGCAGUCCAUGACCCUGAUGGUUGUUCUCUCCACCCCCACCCCACCCCACCCCACCCCACCCCACCCCCAUCCCUGCUUCCCUUCCUGGCCCUGGCCACAGCCCCGGACCCCCGCGAUAGCACCGCCACCUGACCGC